CUGUUGAUGAAAUACUCCGACGAUUAAUCACUAGAUCGGAGAAGGAGAACAAUCGUUUGUGCAUAAAAUCCAUGAAAUAACUGAUUAAAUAGAAACAAAGAUUCAGAAUCAAAUUUCUUUUGGAAUAAAAAUGGUGAAAGGAAAAAUGAAUCCCCCUAGAAAAGAUGAUACAAUUACAGUUAUUGUUUGCUGAACACACGCCAGCAGGAUUAAUCCCGAAAGUUGAGAACCACGAGGAAGAUAUCCCGAGGGUUGGGAGAUGGGAUAUAUACCAGAUUUCUGAUUACAUUUGGAAAACAGACAUGACACAG